UGGGGAAUCUUAGACAAUGGGGGCAACCCUGAUCUAGCCAUGCCGCGUGAGUGAUGAAGGCCUUAGGGUUGUAAAGCUCUUUCAGCUGGGAAGAUAAUGACGGUACCAGCAGAAGAAGCCCCGGCUAACUCCGUGCCAGCAGCCGCGGUAAUACGGAGGGGGCUAGCGUUGUUCGGAAUUACUGGGCGUAAAGCGCACGUAGGCGGACUGGAAAGUCAGAGGUGAAAUCCCAGGGCUCAACCUUGGAACUGCCUUUGAAACUAUCAGUCUGGAGUUCGAGAGAGGUGAGUGGAAUUCCGAGUGUAGAGGUGAAAUUCGUAGAUAUUCGGAGGAACACCAGUGGCGAAGGCGGCUCACUGGCUCGAUACUGACGCUGAGGUGCAGAAGCGUGGGGAGCAAACA
rnacentral:rRNA from 1 species